CACAAUGGACGAAAGUCUGAUGGAGCAACGCCGCGUGAGCGAAGAAGGUUUUCGGAUCGUAAAGCUCUGUUGUGAGGGAAGAACAAGUAUAGGAGUAACUGCCUGUACCUUGACGGUACCUCAUUAGAAAGCCACGGCUAACUACGUGCCAGCAGCCGCGGUAAUACGUAGGUGGCAAGCGUUGUCCGGAAUUAUUGGGCGUAAAGCGCGCGCAGGCGGCCUUUUAAGUCUGAUGUGAAAGCCCACGGCUUAACCGUGGAAGGUCAUUGGAAACUGGAAGGCUUGAGUACAGAAGAGGAAAGCGGAAUUCCACGUGUAGCGGUGAAAUGCGUAGAGAUGUGGAGGAACACCAGUGGCGAAGGCGGCUUUCUGGUCUGUAACUGACGCUGAGGCGCGAAAGCAUGGGGAGCAAACAGGAUUAGAUACCCUGGUAGUCCAUGCCGUAAACGAUGAGUGCUAAGUGUUAGGGGGUUUCCGCCCCUUAGUGCUGGAGCAAACGCAUUAAGCACUUCCGCCUGGGGAGUACGGCCGCAAGGCUGAAACUCAAAGGAAUUGACGGGGACCCGCACAAGCGGUGGAGCAUGUGGUUUAAUUCGAAGCUACGCGAAGAACCUUACCAGGUCUUGACAUCCCGCUGACCGGUAUAGAGAUAUACCUUUCCCUUCGGGGACAGCGGUGACAGGUGGUGCAUGGUUGUCGUCAGCUCGUGUCGUGAGAUGUUGGGUUAAGUCCCGUAACGAGCGCAACCCUUGACCUUAGUUGCCAGCAUUCAGUUGGGCACUCUAAGGUGACUGCCGGUGACAAACCGGAGGAAGGUGGGGAUGACGUCAAAUCAUCAUGCCCCUUAUGACCUGGGCUACACACGUGCUACAAUGGACGGUACAGAGGGUUGCCAACCCGCGAGGGGGAGCUAAUCCCAUAAAACCGUUCCCAGUUCGGAUUGCAGGCUGCAACUCGCCUGCAUGAAGCAGGAAUCGCUAGUAAUCGUGGAUCAGCAUGCCACGGUG
rnacentral:rRNA from 1 species